ACUAAAUAAUAGAAAGAACACACGGAAACAACGAUUUCCUUACAAGAAGAGUCCUUUUUGUAGCUAAAAACGAGUUUGACAGAGCGCUAAAGGCGUUUCAACCUGACGACAACCGAUUGAUAGAAUGUGACUGAGUUGCUUUAAAGGAAGACUAGUAUUAAAGGAUAGUAGCCAAGCCCAGUAAGCUUUACACAUUCGUUACAGUUACAGUAUUUCUUAUGUAAUUCUUCUUUUCAUUUGUCCAUAAUUACUGAUCCUGUGGAUGAACUUAAAAAUGCAUUCAGCAGCUGUAUCAAUGAAUCGUUUAAGCUUUGUUCUGCUUCUCGUCGCACUUACCUUGAUUGUUCUGGUGAGCAGCAGCCCAUCAGGUGUUCAAGGAGUUCGACAAGAAAUCUCACAACAAACUGACCGGCCACAGUGUGUCUGUAGUAGACAAUGGGCCCCAGUUUGCGGAACAGAUGG